GGAAGGAUCAUUACCACGUAUCCACGUAUCAACCAAUUGUGAACUUGUUUUCAACCCUCCCUCUAGUGUACAUGAAUUGGAAUCGACAGCUAAAUUGUUGGGCUCUUAACCGUUCAUUAGCUUGUUCAUCACUUGUGACUCAUCUUUUUGGAUGAGACACUAACAAUUGUAGUAUGAUAGAGGCAUUCCAUUCUCAUUACCUUGAUCACCCUUCAAGACCGCCGGUAAUGGGGAUACCCUUCUUAACUUAUUUAACCCCCUUUUUGCUAGUUGACUUUUUUUCAUGUUGUUUCUUUCAUAAUUAAUUUUACGAUUGAUUCACACGUUUAUUUACUUGAACGUUAAAAUAUACAACUCUUAGCAAUGGAUAUCUCGGUUCUCGCAACGAUGAAGAACGCAGCGAAAUGCGAUACGUAAUGCGAAUUGCAGAAUUCAGUGAAUCAUCAAAUCUUUGAACGCAAAUUGCGCUCUUGGGUAGCCCUAGGAGCACGCCUCUCUCAGUAUCGGUUCAACAACCUCUCAGCAGCGUGUAUCGUGAAAUUUCUUUUUCGAUAUUCGUGUGGCUGGAUAAUGAGAGUCUGAGUGCUUGUCACUUAGUCUCUUGAAAUACAUGGAGUGAACAUAUGACUAACGAAUCAAUUCGAAAAUUUAUUUUCGAUAGCCGGUCUCUGACUGUUGCUUGUUAGUGACGUGAAUACUGACCUUUGGGUCUCCUUUUACGUGUAUCUUUCAUACAAUAAUUUAAGUUAAGGUCCAGCGAACGUUUCGAUCUAGUGUAAUGCUUUUUCACGUACUGUGGGUAACCACAAUCGGCUUUCCUCCUCCGUCUUAUUGAUUUAAGUCGGACUCCAGACUGCCUGAAUUUUGAUCUGAGAUGAAGCGAGACAACCCCCCUGAAUUUAAGCAUAUUAAUAAGGGGAGGAAAAGAAACUAACAAGGAUUCCCUUAGUAACGGCGAGUGAAGCGGGAAGAGCUCAAUUUGAAAAUCGAUUACCUAAACGGGUCAUCGAAUUGUAGCCUAGAGACGUACUAUCAGCUGAAACCUGGUAUAAGUUCUUUGGAAUGAGGCAUCAUAGAGGGCGACAAUCCCGUAUAUGACCCAAAGCUUUCAGCGUACGAUGUAUGUUCAUCGAGUCGAGUUGUUUGGGAUUGCAGCUCUAAAUGGGUGGUAAGUUUCAUCUAAAGCUAAAUAAUGGCGAGAGACCGAUAGCGAACAAGUACCGUGAGGGAAAGAUGAAAAGAACUUUGAAAAGAGAGUUAAAAGUACUUGAAAUUGCUAAGAGGGAAGCGCUGAAAACCAGUGAUAUGUGCGGUUAAUCGCCCUCAGCCCCUCUGGAAUUUGUCUGCAGUUGGAAACUCUGCUUGCAAACUCGAAAAGGUGGUUGGAGGUUUAUAAUUGCGCGUCAGUCAAGAUCAAUUCGACACUGUGGGAGAAGGUAGUAAGAAAGGUAGGAGAGCAAUCUCUGUUAUAUUCUUAUUACUCUACCUCGGUUUGGAUGAGGAAGUAAUAGUGCGCUGCUUGCGGCUUAGUCCCGGGUUCCUACUGUCCUAUCUGUUCUGAUAGCAAUGCUAUCCUGAUGGAAAAAGGCAGUACUGUUCUCGGUGACUCUAUGUGCUAUCACGAUCUUGUACGAAAUGGUUUUCAUCGACCCGUCUUGAAACACGGACCAAGGAGUCUAACAUCUAUGCAAGUAUUUGAGUGAAAAACUCUGAUGCGUAAUGAAAGUAAAGGUAGACUUGUUCUACUGAGGUAGGAAUCCGGUCAAACGGAGGCACUAUCGACCGAUCAUCACUUGUGAAAGAUUUGAGUAAGAGCAUAUCUGUUGGGACCCGAAAGAUGGUGAUCUAUGCCUGAACAGGGUGAAGCCAGGGGAAACUCUGGUGGAGGCUCGUAGCGAUACUGACGUGCCAAAUCGUUCGUCUGAUUUGGGUAUAGGGGCGAAAGACUAAUCGAACCAUCUAGUAGCUGGUUCCCUC
rnacentral:misc_RNA from 1 species